ACCCUUACUGUGGCGCCGAGACCAGGGUGAUCACGGAACCCCUGGCCCCAAGUGGAGGCUCGCCUUUGCACUCUGGCGGGUUGAAGCUUGCUAGGAUCCCUAAUCGGGCUCGCUUGGGCGCGUAGUUUUUACCAGUGGGGAGGUCAUCGAACCAUCUUUU
rfam:Echinostoma caproni strain Egypt genome assembly, scaffold: ECPE_scaffold0023540